CGGGCCGUAGUGUAACGGUAACAUGCGUGAUUCGGGUUCACGUGACUCCGGGUUCAAAUCCCGGCGGCCCGA
rnacentral:tRNA from 1 species